rnacentral:lncRNA from 1 species
AUGCUGUUUCAUUAUUACUGCUAUGCCAAACCACAAGGAGCACACAGAAAACAGAAUACUCAUUCGCCACAGAAGCCGGCUUCAGCUCACACACAUACUCAUUCGCCACAGAAGCCGGCUUCAGCUCGCACACAUACUCACCUUCACACUCCUCUCCACCGCCCCAUUAUAAUCCUGCUGUCGUUGGUCCUCGGGAACGUGGUUCCCGGGACCCUGAAAAUCAGCCUGCCUGACGAAAACCUCGGUCCGGGGCCGGUCCGUGCCCAAACUUUGGCGAUGACUGUCGCCUCGCAGACCGGCCGGGACCGAGGAAAAAAAACCCCAGCUGGGAGGGAAAAAAAAAAAACCCCCCCAGCUGGGGAUUUUUUAUUCUAAAUUUAAAAGUGAAUAGUAAUUCCUGAAAAGCAAAAGCCAUACAUACCAGGUUAGAACCACUCGACACACAUGCACACAAGCAGACCCUGACCCACCGACUCUCACAGACAGACACACUCUGACACGCAGCAGGAGACUAACUCGCACAGUGACCGCAACCCUUAUUUGAAACACUCUGCUGAACAAAAUGCCCUGAGAUAUCUUCUCACUGCUGCUUCUCAACAUCAAACGGUAGAUCCUCAGAAAAUAGGCAUCAGAGACCUGCAAGACAACACAAGGUGGUCAGUGAGGAAUUCUAUGGUAGCUAUGACUCAGCCACCCUCUAGGCCCACAUAUUUUCUACACAAAAACCUCAUAGAAAAGAGGAACUGUAACCUUUUAUAAUUGUUCCACCUAACUCUAACUCUGUGCCAGGGCAGGGCAGCUCCAAACCAAUGCAGUUAAGUUACAGAGGCAGGCACAGUGCAGUUAAGUUAAGUUACAGAGGCAGGCACAGUGCAGUUAAGUUACAGAGGCAGGCACAGUGCAGUUAAGUUACAGAGGCAGGCACAGUGCAGUUAAGUUACAGAGGCAGACACAGUGCAGUUAAGUUACAGAGGCAGACACAGUGCAGUUAAGUUACAGAGGCAGACACAGUGCAGUUAGUUUUACAGAGGCAGGCACAAUGCAGUUAAGUUACAGAGGCAGGCACAAUGCAGUUAGUUUUACAGAGGCAGGCACAAUGCAGUUAGUUUUACAGAGGCAGGCACAAUGCAGUUAAGUUAAGUUACAGAGGCAGGCACAGUGCAGUUAAGUUAAGUUACAGAGGCAGGCACAGUGCAGUUAAAGUCAAGUUAAGGUACAGAGGCAGGCACAGUGCAGUUAAAGUCAAGUUAAGGUACAGAGGCAGGCACAGUGCAGUUAAAGUCAAGUUAAGUUACAGAGGCAGGCACAGUGCAGUUAAGUUAAGUUACAGAGGCAGGCACAGUGCAGUUAAGUUACAGAGGCAGGCACAGUGCAGUUAAGUUACAGAGGCAGGCACAGUGCAGUUAAGUUACAGAGGCAGGCACAGUGCAGUUAAGUUAAGUUACAGAGGCAGGCACAAUGCAGUUAAAGUUAAGUUAAGUUACAGAGGCAGGCACAAUGCAGUUAAAGUUAAGUUAAGUUACAGAGGCAGGCACAAUGCAGUUAAGUUAAGUUACAGAGGCAGGCACAAUGCAGUUAAGCUAAGUUACAGAGGCAGGCACAAUGCAGUUAAGCUAAGUUACAGAGGCAGGCACAAUGCAGUUAAGUUAAGUUACAGAGGCAGGCACAAUGCAGUUAGUUUUACAGAGGCAGGCACAAUGCAGUUAGUUUUACAGAGGCAGGCACGGUACAAGGCAGUCGCAGGCGAUGUCUGCCGGGUGAACGCGGCGAUAGCUGUGGAUGCGAAGGCCGGUUCCUCAGGCGAAAAAAUCCACGAUGACGUCGAGAGGCUGAGAUGGCCGAUGACGUGAAACACGAGACAACGGGAAGAUGGAUUGGAACUGCCCUGCCCGGCAAAAGCUCUGGCGAGCUUGCAAAGAAACCCUCUCCCUUGGCUUCAGAGGAGCCCAUCCCACUACAGCCCUGUCCUCUAACUUAGCUUCAAAAUGCCAACUCACCUGCUCAUCUCUGCUCCUUGCCGUGCUCGGGGCAACGCCGAAUCCUGCAAAGACAGAAAAGAAAAAAGCACUGAGUUACUGUCACAAUGCACAAGGUGGAAUUCCCAAUGUGGUUCCUUUAUUCCAUCUUGGACUACAAAAGCUUGUCAGCCAACCAGGGACUGAAACAGAAGAAAAACCACUCAGUCCCACCUCUCGUACUCAAAGAUCCCCUGUAAAGUUCUGAAGACAGAGCCCUCAAACGAGUGUGGGGUGCUUUGCCCUGAGGCAUGUGCUGUUUUUAACAAAUUCGAGUCACCUCCCUUGCUUUCUAGACACUGCUCACCAGCGUGGCAGGCUAGGGGCGGCUGAGGCGAAACGUCUUUCCCCUGAUAACGACUGCACGAUAAACCUGCAACCCCUUCUGUCUCUCAGAAUCCUGUCCGUGACACCGAUUUGUGUCAGGAUCUCCAGGGUGGGAUUUGUGAUGUGGUUCUCUCAUUCUAUCUUAGAGAACUAAAGAUUAUCAGCAAACCAGAGACUUUAAACAGAAAAACCUCUCAGUCCCACUUCUCAUACUCAAAGAUCCCCUGUAAAGUUCUGAAGACAGAGCCCUCAAACGAGUGUGGGGUGCUUUGCCCUGAGGCAUGUGCUAUUUUUAACAAAUUCGAGUCACCUCCCUUGCUUUCUAGACACUGCUCACCAGCGUGGCAGGCUAGGGGCGGCUGAGGCAAAACGUCUUUCCCCUGAUAAUGACUGCACAAUAAACCUGCAACCCCUUCUGUCUCUCA